ensembl:miRNA
AAAUGCAGACUCCUUGUCCCACCCCCAGAAAAUCUAAUUCAGGGGAUCUGGGUUGGGGCCCAGGAAUCUGCAUUUUACAAACCAGCCCAGGAGAUUCUGCUGCAAGUGG